rnacentral:rRNA from 1 species
AUGCGUAAGAAGGGAGAAGGAGCAGAUGUGACCUUCAGUGUGUGUGGCAACCUGUUCCAUGCUCACAGAUGUUUGCUGGCUGCAAGAUCCCUGGUUUUCAAGGCAGAACUAUUUGGUCCAAUGAAGGAGAAGGCAACACGGAGCAUCAAGGUGGAGGACAUCGAGCCCCUAGUCUUCGAGGCGCUUCUUCACUUUGUGUACACGGAUUCCAUGCCUGAUGAUGAACACUCCAAAGAUUGGAACAUGGCAAAGCUUCAGCACUUGCUAGUUGCUCACCUGCUAGUCGCCGCGGAUCGAUACGGGCUAGAUAGGUUGAGGGCGCUUUGUGAAAGCAAGCUCUGCGAGAGCAUUGACGUGGAGACUGUGGCGACAACACUGGUUUUAGCAGAGCAACACCAUUGCAAGGAUCUCAAGGAAGCUUGUGUUGAGUUCAUUGCUGCAUGGAAUGUGCUACCGGCUGUUAUGGCGACUGAUGGAUUCAAGCAUUUGGUUGCAAGCUGUCCUCUGCUCAUGAGGGAAAUACUGGACAAAGUUUCCUCUAGUGAUUAG